CCGGUACGGGGGCGGGAGGCUGCGUGACGGAGCUCUCGCCCAAGGGCGCGGGCGGAGGCGAUCCGAUCUGAGCUGGGAGGCGGGCGGAGGCAGUCCGAUCUGAGCUGGGAGCUGUCCUGUGGUUGUUGUGGAUCUGAGUAGAAAAAACAAGUAAAACAGAGUACUUGAACCUUCGUACAUAGUUGCAUAUUUCUCGAAGAUGAAAUGUUUCUCAGAUAUGAUCGUUCUCUUCCUUGCACCGGCAUUAUCAGGUAGCACAUCAUACAUCAUUCUUUUUUCCUUUCAAAAUCACCACUCUGCAGCUUUGUAUCAUAGGUUUGUGUCUGCCUGACGCUAUCUCGAGACCCAGGUGCACAUAGCAACAAACCAACGGCCAUGUCUUUCGGCAGCAACACCCUGACGAGAUGAUAGCAGCUGAACCCUCUGAAGCUCAUCGUAUCAGCAACAUCAGGGGUCAGUGUCUUCAGGACCACUCCGGGGAGCAUGUAGAUGAAAAUUCUCCCUCCACCCUGAAUUACUUGUCUUAGAUUUGUCUAGUUUGGGAUGUUCGAUGAAACUUUUACACACAUGAUUAAAACAGAGAACCUCCAGCAAGAGUAGAAACAACGAGUAGUGUUUCCUUGCAACUGAUGAAACAUGUCAACAAAUAGAGUCUGAAUCAUGUCAACAAACAGAGUUUGAAUCGCACCACUCCAAAGAAGAAAUUAUCAGGUACACAUAGGAGCUAUAAAUAGUUUUUCAACUCAUAGCUAGGGAAUUAAUCCCGACGCCCAGUAGCAAGUCUUCAGCAGCAUUCGCUUACUAGAUCAUUCAGGUGCCACUUCUGGUGCCUACAUGUCGUCUGGACCCUAAACUACAAUACCAUGAAAAA